UACGGAGGGUGCAAGCGUUAUCCGGAUUCACUGGGUUUAAAGGGUGCGUAGGUGGGUCUGUAAGUCCGUGGUGAAAUCUCCGAGCUUAACUUGGAAAUUGCCAUUGAUACUGACGAUCUUGAGUACAUUUGAAGUGGGCGGAAUGUGUCAUGUAGCGGUGAAAUGCUUAGAUAUGACACAGAACACCGAUUGCGUAGGCAGCUCACUAAACUGUAACUGACGCUGAGGCACGAAAGCGUGGGGAGCAAACAGG
rnacentral:rRNA from 1 species